rnacentral:rRNA from 1 species
UACGUAGGUGACCAGCGUUGUCCGGAUUUACUGGGCGUAAAGAGCGCGCAGGCGGUCGUUCAAGUCGAGUGUGAAAGCCCCCGGCUCAACUGGGGAGGGUCAUUCGAUACUGAUCGACUUGAAGGCAGGAGAGGGAAGUGGAAUUCCCGGUGUAGUGGUGAAAUGCGUAGAUAUCGGGAGGAACACCAGUGGCGAAGGCGACUUCCUGGCCUGUUUUUGACGCUGAGGCGCGAAAGCUAGGGGAGCAAACGGG